GCCAGAUGAACGCUAGCUACAGGCUUAACACAUGCAAGUCGAGGGGCAGCAUGGUCUUAGCUUGCUAAGGCCGAUGGCGACCGGCGCACGGGUGAGUAACACGUAUCCAACCUGCCGUCUACUCUUGGACAGCCUUCUGAAAGGAAGAUUAAUACAAGAUGGCAUCAUGAGUCCGCAUGUUCACAUGAUUAAAGGUAUUCCGGUAGACGAUGGGGAUGCGUUCCAUUAGAUAGUAGGCGGGGUAACGGCCCACCUAGUCUUCGAUGGAUAGGGGUUCUGAGAGGAAGGUCCCCCACAUUGGAACUGAGACACGGUCCAAACUCCUACGGGAGGCAGCAGUGAGGAAUAUUGGUCAAUGGGCGAGAGCCUGAACCAGCCAAGUAGCGUGAAGGAUGACUGCCCUAUGGGUUGUAAACUUCUUUUAUAAAGGAAUAAAGUCGGGUAUGGAUACCCGUUUGCAUGUACUUUAUGAAUAAGGAUCGGCUAACUCCGUGCCAGCAGCCGCGGUAAUACGGAGGAUCCGAGCGUUAUCCGGAUUUAUUGGGUUUAAAGGGAGCGUAGAUGGAUGUUUAAGUCAGUUGUGAAAGUUUGCGGCUCAACCGUAAAAUUGCAGUUGAUACUGGAUAUCUUGAGUGCAGUUGAGGCAGGCGGAAUUCGUGGUGUAGCGGUGAAAUGCUUAGAUAUCACGAAGAACUCCGAUUGCGAAGGCAGCCUGCUAAGCUGCAACUGACAUUGAGGCUCGAAAGUGUGGGUAUCAACAGGAUA
rnacentral:rRNA from 1 species